GAUGAACGCAGGCGGCGUGCCUAACACAUGCAAGUCGAGCGAUUCUCUUCGGAGAAGAGCGGCGGACGGGUGAGUAACGCGUGGGUAACCUGCCCUGUACACACGGAUAACAUACCGAAAGGUAUGCUAAUACGAGAUAAUAUACUUUUAUCGCAUGGUAGAAGUAUCAAAGCUUUUGCGGUACAGGAUGGACCCGCGUCUGAUUAGCUAGUUGGUAAGGUAACGGCUUACCAAGGCGACGGUCAGGAGCCGACCUGAGAGGGUGAUCGGCCACAUUGGAACUGAGACACGGUCCAAACUCCUACGGGAGGCAGCAGUGGGGAAUAUUGCACAAUGGGCGAAAGCCUGAUGCAGCAACGCCGCGUGAGCGAUGAAGGCCUUCGGGUCGUAAAGCUCUGUCCUCAAGGAAGAUAAUGACGGUACUUGAGGAGGAAGCCCCGGCUAACUACGUGCCAGCCGCCGCCGUAAAAC
rnacentral:rRNA from 1 species